rnacentral:rRNA from 1 species
GUCUACGGCCAUACCACCCUGAAUGCGCCCGAUCUCGUCUGAUCUCGGAAGCUAAGCAGGGUUGGGCCUGGUUAGUACUUGGAUGGGAAACAUGCAAGUAGGUACACUGGAGUGGGCU